rnacentral:rRNA from 1 species
UACGUAGGGUGCGAGCGUUGUCCGGAAUUAUUGGGCGUAAAGAGCUCGUAGGCGGUUUGUCGCGUCGACUGUGAAAACCUACAGCUUAACUGUGGGCUUGCAGUCGAUACGGGCAGACUUGAGUUCGGUAGGGGAGACUGGAAUUCCUGGUGUAGCGGUGAAAUGCGCAGAUAUCAGGAGGAACACCGGUGGCGAAGGCGGGUCUCUGGGCCGAUACUGACGUGAGGAGCGAAAGCGUGGGGGAGCGAACAGG